UUAUUAUGAGAGUUUGAUCCUGGCUCAGGACGAACGCUGGCGGCGUGCCUAAUACAUGCAAGUCGAACGCUUCUUUCCUCCCGAGUGCUUGCACUCAAUUGGAAAGAGGAGUGGCGGACGGGUGAGUAACACGUGGGUAACCUACCCAUCAGAGGGGGAUAACACUUGGAAACAGGUGCUAAUACCGCAUAACAGUUUAUGCCGCAUGGCAUAA
rnacentral:rRNA from 1 species